UACGGAGGAUGCGAGCGUUAUCCGGAUUUAUUGGGUUUAAAGGGUGCGUAGGCGGGCUUUUAAGUCAGCGGUAAAAAUUCGGGGCUCAACCCCGUCCGGCCGUUGAAACUGGGGGUCUUGAGUGGGCGAGAAGAGGGCGGAAUGCGUGGUGUAGCGGUGAAAUGCAUAGAUAUCACGCAGAACCCCGAUUGCGAAGGCAGCCUUCCGGCGCCCUACUGACGCUGAGGCACGAAAGUGCGGGGAUCGAACAGG
rnacentral:rRNA from 1 species